UCCAAGUUUAGUUCAGUUCCAGCCGGCGUACGUAGCGCACGCGUCUUGCGAGAUCGAUCCGACACAACGGGACAUCGAAUAUAAUCGAGUUGGCAGCGAUAAACGAUAAGCGAUAAGCAUAUAGAACGCGCCGCUCUCUCUCUCUCUCUCUGUCUAUCUCUCUCCCCCUGUCUCUCUUACUCGUUCUCUCACGGCCGUACGAUUUCUUUGCGCAUGCGCGCAGCGUUUCGAAGACAAACACACGCAUGCGCUGUCCCCGCCUCAGUCAGCGUCUCCGUCAGCGACUCCGCGCAAAAGUGAAAAUAUUUGGAGAAAUUUCUUGAGCAGAAUUUCAGUUGCCAGUUUUUUGUGUGUCACUGCUUUUAAAAAAGAAAAAAAAAAAGAAAAAUUAAAAUAAAAUAAAAAUAAAAAUAACAACAACAACAAAAUCGAUAACCUAUAACCCGCUCCGUUGCCAAAAUCGAGUUCGAAUCAGAAACACUUUGCCACAAUUAGCCCAAAACGAAAGUGUUCGCAAAUGUCAUUGACCCAGAUCUGAAUCGAAAAUUGGAGCCAACACCAACACCAGCAGCAACACCAACAAGCAACAGCAGCAAGAGCAACCAUCAAAAACUAAGUUUCGACUUGUGCUCGCUUCAGUUUGUUAACUUUUAGUUAACUUUUAGCUCUUUUUCUUUUUAACAACACAAUUUUUUGUCGUCUCUUCCACGCGCAGACAACUAGAGAGCAAAGGACUCUAAGCAUUGACUUUGACAACUUUUCUAGUUUUCCAGCUAAGAGUCGUUAAUAUACAUAUUUAUACAUAUAAAUAUUUGCGAAAAUGGAAAACUGUUUCACGGCGAUAGCAGCAACAAUUUCAGCAAAAUUCUGUGAAACUUAAUUGUAUGUUAACCAAUACAAUAAUUAAAGCUAAAGCACAAUUAGCAGCGUUGUGUUCCAACUAAAUAAAAGAAAACUAAAAUCAACUUCCCCAACAACUUCCAGAACGAAAAAGAAAAGUAACAAGAAAGAAAACAAAAGAAAACCCGAAGCGUAACGUGAACAAUAAAACAUAAUUUUAGCUAAAGAAGAAGAAGAAGAAGCGCACAUUGCAAAUGAUUCAACUGCUUCCUAACUAAGCUCAGUGCGAGGAAUACUUUAAGGGUAAAACAUAUAUAUA
rnacentral:sRNA from 1 species